CCUACGGGCGGCAGCAGUGGGGGAUAUUGCACAAUGGGGGGAACCCUGAUGCAGCGACGCCGCGUGGGUGAAGGAGCGUUUCGGCGCGUAAAGCCCUAUCGGCAGGGAAGAAGGAGGACGGUACCUGACUAAGAAGCCCCGGCUAACUACGUACCAGCAGCCGCGGUAAUAAGUAGGGGGCAAGCGUUAACCGGAUUUACUGGGUGUAACGGGGGCGCAGGCGGCAGCGCAAGCCAGGAGUGAAAGCCCGGGGCCCAACCCCGGGACUGCUGUUGGAACUGGGAGGCUGGAGUGCAGGAGGGGUAGGCGGAAUUCCUGGUGUAGCGGUGAAAUGCGUAGAUAUCGGGAGGAACACCGGUUGCGAAGGCGGCAUGCUGGACUGCGACUGACGUUGAGGCCCGAAAGCGUGGGGAGCAAACAGGAUUAGAUACCCCAGUAGUC
rnacentral:rRNA from 1 species